AAAAUAAUUUUAGUAAACCCUAGUUAUUUCCAGGGGGGUUGCUGGGGGUUCUGUCAUCCCCAUUUCAAGUUUCUGUAAAAGUAGACAUGAUGCACCACUCUAAUGCAUGAACUAACUAGGGUGUGACAUAUUGUUUGUUGUUGGUCCUUGAUCUAAUGUGGUUAAGAUAAACUGUGGGAAAUAGUUCUGGAUUUGUUGUAUGGUAGUUUGCAACUGAAUUUGUGACUAUUUUGGAUACUGACCCCAAUUAAGGUUAUCUUGAAAUCGUGGAUGCACACGUGGUUUGUGUUCUUUUAUCAUGGGGUAUCUGUUCUUUUGCACAUUGGUAGAAAGUUGGUUACUGUCAGGUAAGUUCAUCUCCAUUAAUGCCACCCCACAUAUUUUCCUUUAUGAUGCUGGAUGUUAUUUGUUUAUGUGAACACAUUUGAUGUAGACCCAAAACCUACUACUAAACGGUUCCAAUAAAUAAUGCAUAUGGCCGUAGAACUCUUGAUCAACAUUCUGUGAGCAGACUAAGAAGUGACCUAAUACUCGUAUGCAAAUCACAGUCAUGCCAAUUUCAGUAUUGUCUAAAUUUAUCACGAUGAAACUACAUCUGCUGUUCUAGAUUCAAGUUGAGUCUUGACCUCUAUAAAUAUGUACUUGCUUUUCCUCUCCAUAGGUUUCUAGCAUUUUGAAUGUAUCCUAUUGGCACCUAAUUACAUCAAUUUUCGUUGCAAAUCAAAUUAGAAAUCCAUUGCCCCCUGUACAAAAUCAACUUUCAAUGGAUCAUGCCCAUGCAUAACUUCAGUUUUGGCUGGAUUUUGGAAUUGACAAACAUUAGUUGUAUAUGUGUAUUCAGGUAAAGAAAAUACAUGGUAUUCAAACUAUUCUGGUUUCUCUAUUAAAUCGAAGAUGACAACGACAUCGACGAAGGGAUGAGGCGGCAAUAGUUGCAUUCUCUGUAUAUGAACGGAAGACCUAGAAGGUCGUCUCCUCGAAAGGGAUGCUUCAUUUACAAGAGCGGCUCUCCCCAACAACACUGUUGUGAUGUACCGAAGCCUCCCGUUGCACAUGCUGGGUACUUACACCUCAACGUCACUUCUAUGAGUUGUGGCCUAGAUCAGCAUGUGUAUGUGCCACAGCUUGUGGGAGGGACAAAAUGGGAGGUCGCCUUGAAAUUGUGGAAGUGCAAGGGAGGCCGGAAGAGUGCAUUGCUACGCUGCUGCCCUGUUUCUCCUUAUUGCUGCCGACUCACCUUCGUGUAGCGCUAUUUCCAUAGGGAACCAGCAACAACCACAUUAUGAAAGGGUCAAGGAGCACUGAUCCGAUAUGCAUCAAUGAUAGUGAAGCCGGCAAAGCGACGAGUUCACCUGGCCCUCAGCAGCGGCAGCGACGAGCUCGCCUAGCGCUCCUACCACGUCGCUGGUGCGACCUCCUUGCUAGAUCCCGGCCAUGGAGUGUAGCAGCCUCGGCGCAGCGACUGAGUUGCUCCUAAAUGCGCGGAGCAGUACCGCUUGGCCGGCGAAGUGGCCGGUAGCAGGAAGUCCGCCGUCGUAAAUAGUUGUAAAAAAUGGUCAUGUGUUCCUAUUCAAGAUGGAAAUGGGACCCCGAAACCCGCGUCCCCGUGGGUUUUUACCAUAUUAGGGGAUGGGGAUGGGCGACUUUCUAUUCCCACGGGGCUGCUCGUGGGUACAUUAUUAAACCCGGCAUGUUUCAUGGGUUUAAACCCGUUUGAGUACUACCCGAACCUAAAACCCGACAAAACCCGUCAAAAUACAUUAUUUAGCA